UACGGGGGGGGCAAGCGUUGUUCGGAAUUACUGGGCGUAAAGGGCUCGUAGGCGGCCAACUAAGUCAGACGUGAAAUCCCCAGGCUCAACCUGGGAACUGCGUGUGAUACUGGAUGGCUUGGAUUUGGGAGAGGGAUGCGGAAUUCCAGGUGUAGCGGUGAAAUGCGUAGAUAUCUGGAGGAACACCGGUGGCGAAGGCGGCAUCCUGGACCAAUAUUGACGCUGAGGAGCGAAAGCCAGGGGAGCAAACGGG
rnacentral:rRNA from 1 species